rnacentral:rRNA from 1 species
CAAGUGAAGGGUUUGAUCCUGGCUCAGAAUGAACGUUGGCGGCGUGGAUUAGGCAUGCGAGUCGCGCGAGAAGGUAGCAAUACCGGAAAGCGGCGAAAGGGAGAGGAAUAGGUGGGAAUCUGCCCCUGGAUCGGGGAUAGCUACGGGAAACUGUAGGUAAUACCCGAUAACGUCGAAAGACCAAAGGUGUGAUUCCGUCUGGGGAUGAGCCCACCUCCUAUUAGCUAGUUGUUAGGGUAAUGGCCUAACAAGGCAUUGAUGGGUAGCUGGUGUGAGAGCACGACCAGCCUCACUGGCACUGAGACACUGGCCAGACACCUACGGGUGGCUGCAGUCGAGAAUCUUCGGCAAUGGACGAAAGUCUGACCGAGCGACGCCGCGUGCGGGAUG